rnacentral:rRNA from 1 species
UACGUAGGGGGCGAGCGUUGUCCGGAAUCAUUGGGCGUAAAGCGCGUGUAGGCGGCCCGGUAAGUCCGCUGUGAAAGUCGAGGGCUCAACCCUCGAAUGCCGGUGGAUACUGUCGGGCUUGAGUACGGGAGAGGCGAGUGGAAUUCCUGGUGUAGCGGUGAAAUGCGCAGAUAUCAGGAGGAACACCGAUUGCGAAGGCAGCUCGCUGGAACGUUACUGACGCUGAGACGCGAAAGCGUGGGGAGCAAACAGG